GACGAACGCUGGCGGCGUGCUUAACACAUGCAAGUCGAGCGGUAAGGCCCCUUCGGGGGUACACGAGCGGCGAACGGGUGAGUAACACGUGAGCAAUCUGCCCUUCACAUCGGAAUAACCCCGGGAAACCGGGGCUAAUACCGGAUAUUCACUUCUGCGGGCAUCCGCGGAAGUGGAAAGCUCCGGCGGUGAGGGAUGAGCUCGCGGCCUAUCAGCUUGUUGGUGGGGUAACGGCCCACCAAGGCGACGACGGGUAGCCGGCCUGAGAGGGUGACCGGCCACACUGGGACUGAGACACGGCCCAGACUCCUACGGGAGGCAGCAGUGGGGAAUAUUGGACAAUGGGCGAAAGCCUGAUCCAGCAACGCCGCGUGAGGGAUGACGGCCUUCGGGUUGUAAACCUCUUUCAGCAGGGACGAAGCGCAAGUGACGGUACCUGCAGAAGAAGCACCGGCCAACUACGUGCCAGCAGCCGCAGUAAAAC
rnacentral:rRNA from 1 species